rnacentral:lncRNA from 1 species
UCCGCAUCUGAUGGGCAAAAGCUUAAGGAUUAUAGUAAUAGGCCAGUUUCAGUGCUGUUGGGCCCAUUAGUAUCUGUUAUUGGGCUUUCAACAAAUUAGCCCUCAACGAACGAAAAUUGGUCAUCUUCCAAAUCAUCACUUGCUUCUCGUUUUGCUGCCCUCAUUAUUGCAGAAAGAGAGCUGCUUUUCAAAAAUAUCAGUUGCUGUUGUCCCUGUAAGAAAUUUGCUGUAAGAAUUUGUUGACCUAGUAUAUUGCAUUUGUACUCCAAAGUUUUUUAUAUAUUUAUUUUCGUUUUUUGUAACUAUGGUAAGCCUCUGCAAUUCACUUUAUGAGCUUUCUGCCACAUUAAUUGUUUACAAAUACAUUUGAGGAACUUAUUAUCGUCUAUUGAGUUAAGUCUGCUUUAUUUGGCUUUGUAUUAAUGAGAGAAUUUAUUUAUCGUAUUCACACGCUCAAUCUUACCUCUACCAAAUUUUAGAAAAUGUUAAAAAUUGAAAUCUUUUAUAAUACUUAUAUAAAACAUAAAUUUGGAUAUAUUAUAUGAUAAUAUAUUAGUUCUUCAUAUUAAAUAUUUGGGGGCCUAAGGCAAGGCUUCACCCUAAACCGUCCUUGUAAGUCACUUUGUGAAGAAACUGAACUUGCAUUGAAAUAUCUAGGGUUUCAUGUUUUAAACCCUGUCUAUGCUAAACUAAAUGAAGGUGUUUUUUCCAACUGGAUUGUUUAUACUUGAUUACAUGGGCUCAGUAUUAUCAAUUGCCAUAUUUAGCUGGUUUUAACGUCUAGUUUUCAUAAGAUUAUAGUUCUAGUGUUGAAGUGAAAAGGCAUUUCAAAACAGGUAUUUCGUUCUCCCGCUG